GUGUACGUAGUGUAACGGUUAACAUGAAAGGAUGUGGCCCUUUCGAUGUGGGUUCGACUCCCACCGUACACCCCA
rnacentral:tRNA from 1 species